UUGAAGAGGCUGUCAUUUCCCUAUUGUAUGUCCAUGGCUCCUUUAUCAUAUAUUAAUUGACCAUAUAUGUUUGGGUUAAUAUCUGGAGUCUCUAUUCUGUUCAACUGGUCUGUGGGUAGAAAGCUAUAUUUUAAUAAAAUAACCAUAAGAAGCUUAACAGAAGAUAAGUACUAACAGUGGAGAAGUACUAAAAUAUACAGUUGAUGUUACAGUACUAAACUUGACUUUGAUAUUUUUAUCUAAAGUUCAUUAAAAUUAUUUAAUCAAAAUUAUAACUGCAUGUGCUUUAAAUUUUGAAUUCUCUUGAAGGGCUUGUAAGGGAAGUUCUUUAGUCUUGCUCUUCCCUGUACCAGCCCUGUUCCUCAAAAGUCCUAUUUAACCAUUUCUCUUUUCAGAUCAUUUGUUUAGGUACUCCUGUAUUUCUAAAUACAAUUCUUAUGCCGUUAUUUCUUGAGUGUCACCCUGUACCUCAGACAUUCCCAGUAAUGACUUGCUAUAGUAGAUGAGGAUUUAGCUCAUUUGUUCUCCUCACCCCACCCGCACUUUUGACAGGAAUAUGUUCUGUUUAUUCUUUGAUCAACUCUUGACAGCAUCUCUUGGCUUCCCCCUCUGCUGACUCUUCCUUCUCUGUUACACCUUUUACUUUUCACAUUAUCCAGGUAGAUGACAUGAAUGUUCCAUUCUGUGGCCAUAAUUCAAGCUUUCCUGCUUUAUCUAUAGGUUAAUUCUGAAAGUUGAAUACCCAUCAACAGCAAGUUGAUUAUUGUGACUUAUGCAAAUAUGACUCAUUACUGAGCCAAGCACCAUGUGGUUAUUGCAUCUCUUUGACUCUACGGUUCUGGCGUCACCACACAAACAAGAGCGUUCUCAGUGUCUGGCCAAGUGCACUCUUCCAUCAUUUGCCUGAAUCACACCACAUUUUAGCUGGUUUCAUUUUUGGACUGUUUCCUGUACAGUGUCUCACUUCCUCCCAUUUUUUUCUGAAGUCCAAUUGCUUGUUCCUUGUUGAGAGAAUGCCUGUGUGCCCCCUUCUCCCUGAUGCCACUUGCUCUUUCUGUCACUUGGGGUCUGCUUUCAUUCUCCUAAGGAUAUCCUACUUAGAGUUCAUAGGUUGUCUGGUCUUUGAACUGGUUACUUUCUGGGUCUUCUGCACAACAGCUGUACUGAGAUUUUGUUUUCAUGCAACAUUUGGGGUAAUUUCAGUUUCCUGAGUCUCACAUCUUCCUUUCUUGGUUUUUACCCUCAUAUUCCUGGAGUACAUUUUCAGAAAGGAUGCACUAGAGAUAAACUUUCAGAGUCCCCGUAGCAUGUAGGAAACUAUUGUUACUUUUGCCCUUAUUUAAUUGGUAGCCUCUCUUGGAAUAGAAUUCUGGGUUCACAGUAAUUUUCCCUUAGAACUUGGAAGACUUUGCUUCACUGUCUUCAAGCAUCUGUUGUUGCUUUAAAGCUGGUGUCACUCUGCCUCAACUUUUGUAGUGGAUUGCGAGGCUCUUCCUGUCUGUAGUGUCUGAAAUGAUUUAGUGAUGGAUCUAAGUGUGGGUCUUCUUUGUUCAUCCUGCCUGACACUUGGUAGUCUUUUCAAGACUCACUUCAACUCUAGAAAUGCAUUUCUGGAAUUUCUUUGAUUAAUUUUUCUCUUCUGUUUGCUGUUCUUUCUUUCCAGAACUCCUGCUGUCAGCUUUUAGAUCUCCUAGAUCCUGUCUGCCUCAUCUUUCUCUGUGUUUUCUGUCUGUAUUUUUCCUCAGAUUCAGCUCCUCUUCUCUCUCUCCCCAUCUCCUUUUCAUCCCAUGUGACUUGUCAACUACUAUUGCAGGUUCUCGAGUAUAGCCGGUGGCCAAAACAGACCGAAUUCUUUGCACUCCUGAGGCUUACACUAGUGGAAUUGACCUUUUUCUCAUUUAUUAUCUAUGUAUGUGUCUGUGAACGAAAGCUUUCUUUGUCUCUUAAUUGUUCCUUUUUCAUAGCAACUGUUCUUGGCCUUGCGUGGUUAGUAUCUUGACUUUCUGAGGAUAUUAGAUCUUUGUAAAGUUCUAUUCUCAGAGUUAUGUUGUUUAAUUUUUAUGCAGUUUUUCUGUUUAUUCUGUUCUUUGUUUUCUUUAAGAGGCAGCUUCCCUUAAAUAUCCAGUGACCUGGUUGUCCAGCCAUAUACUUAGGGGGGACUAGAAAUCUGGGCAGGAGCUCCAUUUAUGUGCAUGGGGCUUGUGAAACAGCAGGCUUGAUGUUGGGGUGAAUGCAGAAAAACAGUCAUGGUGCUGGGGACCCCUAAUGCCUGAACCAGGGGAGGUAGACACUGGGGGGCCAGCUGCUUAGACUGGCUUCCAUGGUUCUCCCCGGACAUUUUGUUUCUUUAAAGAGAAGAGCCCUGGUGACACACUGUUGCUGCAGGAGUGGGGUGGACUAUUUCCUAGACCAUCCCUAGUCAAUCUCACUGUUUUCAGCCAUGCUCUAUGCUCCUGCUAUUCAAUCUGCGGAUGCGGGAACCCUGCUGGGCAGUCAACCCCUCUCUCCCCUCCAUAGCCGCUUCUUGCUUUCUUUUUCAUCUACCGACUCCCUCCUGGAUUUCAGCUUUCAUUAACUGUCAAACUCAUGCAUUGACUAGUGGCCCUCUGGCAUUCUCUUGGCCCUUUGGAGUUUUUCUUCAUGAGGGUCUUGAAAACAGGCUUCAGGAGGUCUUUCAUGUUGACCUGGUUUCAUAUCCAUAAGUAGUUAGUUUUUCUUUUUUGCAGAUUCAUGUUGAAUAAUGUGUAGAGUAAAACCAUUGAGUUGGCCUUAUGCAAGGGACAUCUUGAACUUGGAGGCCUGUGGCAAGCACUGUUCUGCAGGAGUGUGCACUUCACCAUUUGACGUCAGACCUGGGUCUGGCCAGUUGACUUCUGCCUGUCAACUUUAAAGUGAGGGAAUCACGGAUUCUCCUGAAGCCUGUUUUUUUCCCAUUUAUAUGUCUUUUAUCUCUUGGGUGAUGAGUUCAGUACAUGCUAUGUGAAAUAGUAAUUUCUUGCUUAUUGUUCUUUCUCGUAAUAUGGUCAACUUUGGGUGUAUCCUGUUUGCCAGUUAUAUGUGUGGCCUUGCUCCCUGGCAAUGCUGCUUUCCAAAAUGCAUAUUGUUAAUGUAGACUAACUACUUCUUUUUAUGAGUUACUUCAUAAAUUUCACUUUUUGAGGACUUUUGGAAAGGAUGUUUUGAACAUUUUAAAACUAAUUUGGGCCCUUGGCUAUUCUCUAUGAAGAAAGAUACCUCCUCCAAUACUGCCCUGCCCCCCCUUCAUCUAAUGUUGGGACAUAGUGUAGCUUGCUUUUCAUCUCAGAGGUGUGCCACCAGGUUGGGUGUUCUCAGUUAUAGUGCCGUGUUGUCCCGAGUCUUGCCGGAAUGAUUUACUGCCCCCAAUGUAAUUCACUAACGUAGCCUGCAGCCUUUGGCUGUGUCUGAGCAGCUCGGGACCAGGCCGGGCAUGCUGUAAUUGCCCGGCUGCGGUGAGCACUACGGGCCCUGUGCCAGGGGGGCUGCUGUGCCAUUGACUAUUGCAUGCUUCUCCUUCUCCGGUCAGAAGGCAGGGCUUCUGGGGUGGCAUAGUGGGGCCGGGCGUCUGAAAGAUUUUCGAGUUCUGAAAUCCUUAGGAAAGUUGGCUCCUAUCAACUUGCUUUUAAAACAAACUUAAUUACUUCUAGUCAUUAAACCAAGUACACCUCAAGCUGAGUGCCGAGUAGAGAUCAAAAGGAUACACAGAUCAGCUUUCUAAGGACUAAGCCACCAAUAAUCCUUGUAUAUUUUCAGUAUUUACACCUGGAAAAGCUUCCCUAAAACCCAUCUACUCAGGGGAAACAGUUGUAUGAUAUCAUUAUUUUAAAUCUACGGGAAAGAUACAGAAAUACAGAUUGGGACAUACUCGUGGUUGUAGUGAGAAUGCGAAGACAAGACGAUGCUAGGAUGAUGUCGUGGCCCGCAGAGCUCCUUCAUCUCAGUGCAUCUAAAAGUGUUGCUCAGGCCUGUUUCAAGGCUUGUUGGGAGGGGUUACAGGUGCCCAGCAGGGUCUGGUGGCCAUUAAGUGUGGGAAGUGCUGGGGACAGUCAUGUCACACUCUGGGGACACUCCAAGUAGAGUGCGGCUCCCUUAAGGGCUCUGGUAACUGGUAGCACUUCCAGAUGCACUGGUCCUGUCAUGAUCUCCUGCUGUGCAAAUUGUGUCCUCCAUGGCUAAUUGCUUUGGGUGUGUAUAAAUUUUUUUCUGCUUAGAUGCUUGAAUUGUGUAGCCGCAGGAAAAUAUCCUUUCUUUCUUUGUGUCUUUAAUUGUUAAAAUGUAUUAUUUCUCUGGGACCCAGGGGAGGAAAACUCAUGUUCCAGGUACACAGUCUGCCUCUAUUUCUGCAAAACUGGGGUAAAGUCACCAGUGACCUCCUCCUGCAGGGUCAGAGGGUCGUGUUCUGUCUUCACAACCAGUUCCAACUCUCCUGAUCUCCUUUCCCCUCUGACUGUUCUUGGUCUCAUUCCUGGCUCUACUUUCACCCAUUUUUUUUCCCUUUAAAUUCAGGUUUACUGAAGAAUAAUAUACAAACAAUAGAAUAUCUUUCUAAAGCCCAGAUCUGAUGGUUUUUUCACUCUGAAUGUCCUGUAGUUGUAGGACAUCAGACUUAGCAGCUAGUAACCUCAGCCUCCCUCCCUUCUUUCCUGCUAUCCACCCCUCCUGAUUACCAGCUAGUCUCAGAAUAAGCUGAGGGCUUUGCAGUCAUGACCGCUUCUUUGUGGCUUUACUUGGUGUUCUUUUUCAACCCCUCACACAUCACUUGCUGCUUCUCUGGAGGUGUGCUCCGUGUCUCCGUUGUCACGUGAGCACCUCUGAGCCCAGUGAGCAUAGAGAUGAUGUGCGCUUCAACUGUCUCAGGGCCUCGUUGUUUGGGGCUUCAUUGUAGAAUCUUGAGUGUUUGCUAAACUGAAUUACCAUAGCUCAAAUGUAAAGUCAUAUAACUUUGAUGAUGCACUUAAUUAAGGUUUCUUUAUAAAGUGGUAGCUCUCUUUUAAGGACCAGUUCCCACCCACAGGCUAAGGGAAAUGAGCCGUUAGAAAUACCGGCAAGGAUAUAUUUCUCCAAACCCACAUUUGAGGACUGCUUGGUUCCCCCCAUCUAUACCUGUGGAGCUUCCUGCCAUGCUGGCAGUAAAUAUUUGCUCUGUGCCUUGCUGCCCCCCUUAGCUCCUGUGUUGCUGAGCUAGCCUUCCCAUUCUUUUCUGCCCUGUUCUUCUUAGUGGUGUUUACUGGCUCUCUCUCCCUUCCCUCCAGCCUCCAAAGUGUAGAAGUUCUCAAUUUUUACUUCUAACUUUGCUGUCCUCCUUCCCUCCUGUCUUUCCCCUGACCUCACUCACUUACGGGAGACCCCGUCAUCAGUACUCUGGUGGUCAUGGUGGUCUCCUCACUCAGGUCCCUCUGCUGCCGUCCACUCUAUGCAGCUAAUUGAAGUGCCGCCACCCUACCCCACGCCCGGCCAUGUGCUCUGCUGCUGUGUAUGAAAUAGGUACAAGAGAUUUAGCCAGCACUCAAAACAAUUGACAGAACUGCCUCAAGUAAGCAUGCAGCCUAAGUUAUAAUCGUGCAUCAAUGCUAUGAAAAUGCAACUUUAAAUACAGAAACCCCCAACUAUUACUCCAAGCUCUUCUCGGUAGGAAUUGCUGACCUGCUCCUGUCAAAGACCAAGUGAGCUCACCCCACCUCGACCUCUGACCUCUCAUUGUGCAUCCUUGCAGUUGACCACUCUCUUCUUCCCGAGUGGGCUUCACGAUCCAUGUGAGGGAGAGUGCUAGCCCUGGGAUCAGACACACCUACAUUUGAAGUUUGGCUCUGCCCUCACCUUAGCUUUGUGAUCUGGGCCCAUGUGUAAAACAAGGAGGUUUAGAAGGGCCUCAUUAGGUGAUUGUACAGACAAAUUCUUUGCAAAGCACUUCUCCCCCACUACUCUAUGCCUUUUCUCAUGCCAGUCACCCUGCCUGGAACCUUUUUUGCCUCUAAUUGCUAGUAAAAACUAUUCAUUCUUCCAGGGCCACCACCCUGUAAAGAUGCUCCUCCUCUAGUGGACACUGCCCCACACAGAGCAUGGCAGCCCUGAGCCCUGAGCCCUUUAUGGCCCUUCCCAGUGUCAGCCUUCUCAGAAGGCUUUUCAUGUUCCCCUGCUCUGGUUAUUGUCUCUUUCCUUACAGUCCCCAUUGGGCCUCUCUUCUGAUCCUCCUUGUCACCUGUCCUGGGGCUUCCUUGUGGCAUCUAGCUCGGGGUCUUCAACAGAGAAACCCCAUUAGGCCUUUGUCUUCGGAAGGGGACACCAGUGCCACAGGCUCUUUUAUAGGAAACUGACUAAAGUGACAGAGAGCUAUAGAUUCCAUAUCAUGACUGCCUUUCAUAAAAAUAUUCUAGCACUCUUCCCAUUUUACAGGAUGAAGGAAUUUUAUAUAUUGAACAGUUAAGGCACCACUCAUUUGUGACUGGGAAGCAGUUUUAAAAUUGAAAUAGAUUCUAAGUCCUUUCUGGAAAUAGGUGUGUAAUGUACACAUCUAACUUGUAAACAUGAGCUAGUAGAGUGCCUGCACAUAAAAGGUGUGCAAGGAAGAUUGGCUGAAUAUGUGAAAUACAUACCGUGUAAACCUGAAACUUACAGCUGUUGUCUUUGGGCGUGUCAUGCUCUGUAGUGUUGUAUAUUGAUCAUGCAAUCUUUGUAGAUCUCUAAUCCAGAGGGAGGUACAGCUUGCUCUGUUGUUCCUUAAUUGCAGCUAAAGGCUCAGAGCACCUUCCCUAGGGUUUUGCAUGUGGUGGAUCCAAGAUUUAAUCAUAGGCUGAUCAUAUAGUAGAGCAGCUCCGUCCAGGAUUCACCAAAUAUGUUAGUACCUGAGGUCAUGGUGAAGAGAAUAUUUCACUAUAUUUCAGAGACCCUGGAUUUAUUAGCACAUAGUAUAGCAAACACCUGAAAGAGACUGACUUACAUUUUAAUCUGUUACCAGCUAAUAUCGUCAUGAACUUUGUUUCUGAGCCAAAUGAGGGAGAAAGUAAUCUGACAGAACUUCAGUUUAGCAAAAGUAAUAGUUUUUUCUACUCUUCCUGUUCAUCAGAGAAGCAAGUUGGAUGGUCUUUGUAGAACUUUAGCCUUAUUUUGAUAGACAUUUCUUUCAAAUUCUUUAAUUUCAAAGUAAUAGUGAUUCUUCUUGGGGAGGAACUUUUUUUUUUUUUUUAAGACAAAGAAUAAUUUAAAGACAUGCCUUUUGGGAAACAUACACUGUGAUGUACCUGUUGUCUGUAUUCACAUUGUUUGGAAUGUUCGUCAGCUUUUAAAGCAUUUUUAAAAUUGAAAAUUUCAUAGACUCUAAAACAUUUAUAAAAUAUAUUUUAUUCACUGCUACAUUAGAUGGGCAUUUUACCAUUAAUAAAGAGGUAUAUUUAAUGUUUA